GAUGAACGCUGGCGGCGUGCCUAAUACAUGCAAGUCGAGCGAACAGACGAGGAGCUUGCUCCUCUGACGUUAGCGGCGGACGGGUGAGUAACACGUGGAUAACCUACCUAUAAGACUGGGAUAACUUCGGGAAACCGGAGCUAAUACCGGAUAAUAUAUUGAACCGCACGGUUCAAUAGUGAAAGACGGUUUUGCUGUCACUUAUAGGUGGAUCCGCGCCGCAUUAGCUAGUUGGUAAGGUAACGGCUUACCAAGGCAACGAUGCGUAGCCGACCUGAGAGGGUGAUCGGCCACACUGGAACUGAGACACGGUCCAGACUCCUACGGGAGGCAGCAGUAGGGAAUCUUCCGCAAUGGGCGAAAGCCUGACGGAGCAACGCCGCGUGAGUGAUGAAGGUCUUCGGAUCGUAAAACUCUGUUAUUAGGGAAGAACAAAUGUGUAAGUAACUAUGCACGUCUUGACGGUACCUAAUCAGAAAGCCACGGCUAACUACGUG
rnacentral:rRNA from 1 species